rnacentral:rRNA from 1 species
UACGUAGGGGGCUAGCGUUGUCCGGAUUUAUUGGGCGUAAAGAGCGUGUAGGCGGCCAGGUAGGUCUGCUGUGAAAACUCGAGGCUCAACCUCGAGACGUCGGCGGAAACCAUCUGGCUAGAGUCCGGAAGAGGAGAGUGGAAUUCCUGGUGUAGCGGUGAAAUGCGUAGAGAUCAGGAGGAACACCCAUGGCGAAGGCAGCUCUCUGGUCGACAUCUGACGCUGAGACGCGAAAGCGUGGGGAGCGAACGGG